ensembl:lncRNA
GUUCCAGAGUGUCAUCAUUCAUUGAUUAGCUAAAUCUGCUAACACUUUGGCAAGAAGAACUCAACUUAAUAUUCUUUAAAAAUAUAAAAUCAUAUGAGGAAAGCCAGCAUAAGAGUCAAACCUGACUAUUCAAAUAAAUGAGGGGCUGCACUUUUUAUUCAGAGGCCAGUGCUGGUUUGAACACCGUCUAAUGGUGCUUCCAGUGUUGCUGCGUCGAGACGCCGCGAUUGCCGUUAUUGAUAUACAAAACGAGCAAUCAUGGAGAGAGUUGGAGGCGAAGGAAACCACAAGUGCCUAAUCACGUCUGUGAAAUUUUACAGCUGCACGGAGCUUCAGAAAGCUUUGUUUUCUUCAGUCCCCCUAAAAUGUGCAGUGUGGAGAGCGUUUUAGGAAACAGCAAUGUUUCAGGAGCUGGAAAAUGUCAAGUGAGUGCGUAUGGAAGGCCUCAUUCAACAUGUCAGGGCGCACGGAGGAAUAACAUCCUUCAGACCUGUGAAGUUCUCUGAUGCUUCUGUGCUUGUUUGCUGACACGCUCCAGCUCGUGUUUGUGUUUUUUCCUCUGAUGAAACAGGUGGUCUCCGUGUAGAUCCCACAGCCCGCUCCUCCCCGCUUUACACACAGGCUCCUGCUCCCCAUAGGUUUUCUCCAGAAUAGCUAAAAGAAGGCUUUUCCUCCCCAAUGCCUCGACGGCAUUCCCUCUUCCCCCCCACCCCAUUCCUCUUUCUCCUGUCCCUUCAGCAGCCACCCCCAAUUACACACAACAGCUGCCAGUGUCCUUUGGAGGAAAAAUGAUGCGUGUCCAACAAAACUGAUCUCUUUCACCUCCUCCUGUACCUCCUCUCCUCUAUCAACCAGUUAACCCCCACCACACACUGCUCCGCCCCAGUUCGAUCCCCCUUGCACCUGAAGCAUGUACCACAUUACAUUCAGACAGGCAGCCAGAGAGCAGUGAUGAUGGCAGAUUUCCUGUCUACCAGGCAUGCACAUGUGAAAGCCCCGGGUUGCCUUUAGUACCUCGCCUGACAGAUACGCUGUUGCCGCUGUGGCGCACCAAAGCGCAGACUGUCUCUCACUCACGUGCACACAGAUCAGCAGACAUGACUGGGCCACGUCGACCGACCUAGCACCGAACAACUGCGCGAGCGGCUGAUUUUACUUGCCUGUUUGGGCUCUG